GUCGUCCUGAGGAGGAGUGAAGGCGGCAAAAUGGCGGACCGCUUCUCCCGCUUCAACGAGGACAGAGACUUUCAGGGUAAUCACUUUGAUCAGUACGAAGAAGGGCACUUGGAGAUUGAGCAGGCGUCCCUUGACAAGCCUAUAGAAUCGGUAAGAUGACCCCUGCUUAUUUUGGGUCUUAGCCAGUUAGUUAGGUAGAGCUCGUGUGACACUUGAUGUGAAUGAGGUUAAACUAUGUACAACUGACAGCACAGUUCAGAGCCGUUCUCUUGCAUGCCCUAGAGCAAUCAGGUGGACUUUGGGUAUGAUUUAAUAAUGUUAGAAAAUCAGUGUAAACCAGAGAAAAGGUUAGGAUUUAAAGGAAAAA
rnacentral:lncRNA from 1 species